rnacentral:rRNA from 1 species
GAUGAACGCUGGCGGCGUGCCUAAUACAUGCAAGUCGAGCGAGCAGACGAGGAGGUUACUCCUCGGACGUUAGCGGCGGACGGGGUAGUAACACGUUGAUAACCGACCGGUUAGACUGGGAUAACUUCGGGAAUCCGGAUCGAAAACCGGAGAAUAUAUUGAACCGCAUGGUUCAAUAGUGAAAUACGGGGGUGCAGUCACUUAUAGAUUGAUCCGCGCCGGAUUAGCUAGUUGGUAAGGUAACGGCUUACCAAGGCAACGAUGCGUAUCCGCCCUGAGAGGGUGAUCGGCCACCCUGGAUCUGAGACACGGUCCCGACUCCUACGGGAGGACGCAGUAGGAACUCCUACGAGAUGGGCGAAAGCUUGACGGAGCAAAGCCGCGUGAGUGAUGAAGGUCUUAGGCUCGUAAAACUAUGUUAUUAGGGAAGAACAAAUGUGUAAGUAACUAUGAACGUCUUGACGGUACCUAAUCAGAAAGCCACGGCUAACUACGUG